UAAUAAGCCAUCACGCGUGAAUACUGAAUCAUCUUCUAUACGCUGACGGAGUCGCGGGCACAGCUAUUAACAAUAAUAUUGUGCGGUUCCGUAUUGCGAUAUUUUCAACAGUAUUGUAGAUUGACAUAUUAAAUUUCCUUACUAAAAUACGAAAGUUAAGCUGUCUGUUACAUCAAAACCACUGAACCGUGAGGAAGGACAUAGGCUACUUUUCUUUACGAAAAACGACGGAAACGCGGACGAAGUCGCGGACAACAGCUAUGCUAUAUAAAAUACCGCAAUCGUCAUAGGUUGGCCUAUAAUAUUAGAAGAGUUCCUUCGAUUUCACCAGGAUCCCAUCAUCAGACCCUGACCGGACAAUCGGACCACCUGCA